rnacentral:misc_RNA from 1 species
GCUCCCUUGAUGUAACACGGGAGACCACUCUGUGAGUUUGUUAUGAUUGGAGUUCAAGGCGGGAAGGCUAGUGAGGCGAAAAACAAUAGCAGCUAAUUGGUGGUAGCCCGACGUGACUUGACACACCGUAACAAAUCAGUUGUCACACAAGCAUCAAGCACACCAGUCAAUCGCCUAGGGAAGCACAGGGCUUGGGUAGAAGAACAGUUACCGAUCCUUUCUUGGUUACAACGGCAAACCACGUGGCGCACUGCAUGAAAGUCACUGGCUCAUAACAGCGCAGUUGUAAGCCGAACAUACGGACAUCGACGUACAGUCUUCAUCAAGCUGUGCCCCGAGGAAACUUGGACUUACACACGCGUAUAUUCACUCUUCAUUCAUACAAAAUAAAUUCAAGAUGAGUUCGGGAAGAGGCGAUACUCCGGCGGAGAAAGUGGCACUUAAAAAGACAAUCACCCUCUUCCAGGGGGUAGCGAUCAUCGUCGGUAUAAUCAUUGGCUCCGGUAUUUUUGUGUCACCUGUUGGAAUCCUUAUGCACACUAAGUCGGUGGGAUUUUCUUUGAUAAUGUGGGCUAUAUGUGGAGUUUACAACACCCUGUGCGCGGUCUGUUAUGCAGAGUUGGGUGCAGCGAUGCCUCAGUCUGGCGGGGAGUAUGUUUACAUCAAAAGGGCCUUUGGUGAUUAUCCAGCAUUUGUGUGUCUGUGGAUUAACUUCCUGUUGAUUUGCCCAGUUGGUAUUGCGGCACUGAGUUUGAUAUGCAGUUUGUAUAUUCUUCAACCAAUAUUCCCUGAUUGCGAUGUACCUGAGCUUCCCCAGCGACUGUUUGCAGUGUGUAUCGUGUGUCUGCUGAUCGGCAUCAACAUCCGCAAUGUCAAAUGGGCGACCCGGGUGCAGGUCGUCAUCACCACCUGCAAACUGGUGGCACUCGCCAUCAUCAUCGUCAUCGGAUUCAUCUACUUUGGGAAAGAUAUGAAGACUCAAGGAGAGGUGGAGAGCUUCCAGAACUCUUUCGAAGACAGUGACUACAGCGCAGGGGCCAUCGCACUCUCCUUCUACUCGGGCUUCUGGGCAUACAGCGGAUGGAGUUACCUGAACUUUUUAACAGAGGAACUUGUGGACCCAAAUCGCAACCUGCCUCGAGCCAUCAUGAUCUCCAUGGUGCUUGUAAUCUCCAUCUACCUGGUCACCAACAUCGCAUACCUCGCUGUGCUCUCCCCAACAUCGAUGCUCAAGUCGACUGCUGUGGCUGUGACGUUUGCGGGUCAGACAAUGGGUGUGAUGUCAUGGCUGAUGCCCAUCCUCAUAGCAGUCUCCGUGAUGGGAACCAUGAAUGGAACAGCCCUUUCAAUGUCGAGACUGUUCUUCAUCGGUGCCCAGAACAACCAUAUGCCACACUUCAUGGGUAUGAUCCAGUACAAGUACCUGACCCCGGCCUCAUCACUGUUUGUCAUUCUGGCUCUGGUCACAUGUUUCCAGUCGUCCAAUGAUAUUUGGUAUUUGAUCGAGAUGGAGGGCUUCGGGUUUGCCACGGUACUCACAGUGGUGUUUGCCGGACAGGCUUAUCUCAGAUACAAGGAGCCGGACAUGAAGAGACCCAUCAAGGUACCAGUUGCGCUGCCAAUAGCCCUGAGUGUCAUCAGUUUGGCCAUCGUGGUGCUCACAUUCUACCAGAAGCCCUCUGAAAGCUUGAUGGCACUGGGCCUCAUUCUCUUUGGCUCAGUCUUCUAUGUGAUUGGCAACAGGUGGCAGAACAAACCGCGGGAGCUGCAGACCAAGAUCAAUUCUAUCAACAAGUUCUUUCAAAGACUGUUCCUGGUCAUACCACCAGACAACCCAGAUGAAGUGGAAUGGGAGUAACCUCCCCUUCUGUGAACCGAGAUUUGGAGUAAUCUCCCUUUUUAUGAGAUUGUACCAAGAGUAGCCUCCCCUGCUGUGUAAAUGAACCGGGCCCACUUUGGUCUACAGGCAGUCAUAUCAGCUGCAUCUUUGGUUUCUCUUGGAGGAAGAUAACCGUUCAAAAUCUGAAGUGUAGGUUGAAGAUAAUGUUCAUUAAUUUGCACAUGUUUUGCAUCAGUUCAAUUAGUUAAACGUUACAUUUUGUGUUGAAGAUAUCAGACUAAAACAAUUCAAGAAAUACACAGCAGAAUAUGUGGGGUAACUGACCCAAGGGUCACUCGGUGCUAGUAGAAGCUUUAGUUCUGGUACCAAGCUUUCAUUGGAUCAACCAACAGAAUACUUCUUGUGAAGCUCAAAGUAAACCUCAGAUAUAAAUUUCACGGAGCUUUACAAUUUAUGUAGUGUGUAGACCCACAUAACAUCUCUCCUGCUAUUGACAUCAAUGGUUAAAUUGUUUAUUGGCAUUCUACGGGGGUUAAUCUAGACCUAGAGGCAGACAUUCGGCCCUAAAUCUGCAUCAAAUGUCAGUAGAUAUCCAAAUGGAAAUAAUACAAUCCCAGUUAUAACAACUGCGAUGGCUUGGUUAAGGUGACUUGUGCUUAUUGGAUUAGAGGACCAAUAAAGAGGUGAGGCUUAUUUGUACGUCAUUGCAUUCAAUUCAGCGCUGAAGUAGUUCGAACUAUUUUUACCAAUUGGCCGCCAUGUUGUUUAGAGUGCUACAUAAACAACCCCAGUUCUGAAAUUUGACAGUGUGAGUUAUGGAUCUUUGAUGUUCCUUUCACUGACUAUGUCAUGUUUAAAAAGUUGAAUAUUUCCAUGUUUUUUCUGUGCCUUAAUUGAUUUGUGAGCAUUUCAAGUGAGCUCUAGUGUGUCACUGUGACUGUGGCAUCAGGGUGAGUGUGUUUGGCAUUUGUACUGAGAGUGUGUGACAACUGGGAACAUUGCAAGGACAGUCUGUUGUCACCAUGCCUCAGUUGUAUUGUGCACACAUCCCUGUGAUUCCAGUAACCACCACUGUCCAUGUUCCUUCACAAUGUUCCUGUUCCUGUUCUUCCAUGUUGUUUUAAUUCACCUUUGAAUCUUUUAUGACCAUAUAUUUAUUUUUUCUUAGCUUUUAACAUGUUUGAAUCAUGUCCAUUCUUUUAAUUAGAAAACAUUGACGUCGUCUCAUACAUACAUAGCAAACAUGUAGAAUUUAGGCCCCAAAAAAUAACAGUCUUGUUCUCAGGCGCCGCCUGCAUCAUCGUAAAGUCUGCGGCAUGUUUCGUUUUUAUUUCCAUUUUAAAAAGAAAAAAAAUUUUCCUAAUACUCAAAAACAAAGCAAUCCAAUAUAGCACACAGUUACUUCAUUUUACAUGCACUCUGCUUUCCUGUGCAUCUCGUGUUUAUGGUUAUGAUGGCAAUGGGAGUUUGUAUGCUACUUUAUGUAGGGAGUCCGUUUCCCAGGUUGAUGGUACACAACUGUUUGUUUGGUUACAUAUUAGCUUAAACAAGCAAACAUUAUAAAAAAAGACCCCAUGGUCAUUGCCUGAGAACCAAUUCUUUCUUUUUUUUUAAGCCUUAUUGAAUAACUGUACAAUUGCAAUGGUUUAAGUGUAGCUUUUCAUCAGCUUACAGUCAUGUACCUGUACUAUCCGUGACAUCAAAACCGUCCGUUAUUGUUGGUACUGGAAAUCAAUCCCUAGAAAACUUAUCGGCUUACUUUAUGUUUGGCCCUGCAUUUGUCUCGCCUGUUAAAGUACUGGGGUUGAUUGACAAUAGGCUUUCUGCCACACUUAUAUCGUGGAAGGAGGCCUAGUGUGAAAUGAUUUGCUGAAUUUUAAUCUGAUUAGAAUGAUUCCAUGACAUGGCUUUUAGUGUAAGGUACUGGUUCUAGUCGUAUAACCCGAUCAAAAUUCAGUAUGGCAGGGUCCACUUGCACAAGAUGAUCUUAACACUAUGACGAUCUUAACACUACGACGAUCUUAACACUAUGACGAUCUUAACACUACGACGAUCUUAACACUAUGACAAUCUUAACACUACGACGAUCUUAACACUAUGAUGAUCUUAACACUACGACGAUCUUAACACUACGACGAUCUUAACACUACGACGAUCUUAACCUCCACAGUUGGACAUGUACGUAUGACAGUCGAGGUGCUGUGAUUGAUUGGUGAGAGUGGGUUUUGGUAUUCCAAAAUGUUUUACAUCAUAACGACUAGUGAUCAAGAUACAUUUCUACCUGACUUCACUGCCCCAUAAUGCUUCAGUGUUGCCAUGACGACACAGUCACCAUGUCUACUGUUGUCAUCAUCACUGAAGGUUAUAAUUUCCAUCCCAGUGGCAUUGAGAGAGUUGACCUAGUCAGUGUGAACAGGAAAUUAUGCUCCAGAUGUAUAUGAAAUGGAUAGGGGUGGCACUGGAAUUCACUGUACAGAGUUCAAAUCCCUGAUUCAUCCUCAUGUUGCUUUUAGGGUUGUCAGCACCAUAUAUAUGUACUUGUGGGCUUCACCAAAGUGGUAAACAUUUGAACCCUGCCUCACAUCAUGGGACAGAACUGAAAUAUGACAAGAUGGCAUUAAACCAAAUGCACUCGCUCACUCACUCACUCACCAACCCUCGAACCCACUAUUUCAUUCCUCACUCACCCACUCACUCACUCACCAACCCUCCCACCCACUAUUUCAUUCCUCACUCACCCACUCACUCACCAACCCUCCCACCCACUAUUUCAUUCCUCACUCACCCACUCACUCACUCACUCACCAACCCUCCCACCCACUAUUUCAUUCCUCACUCACUCACUCACUCACUCACUCACCAACCCUCCCACCCACUAUUUCAUUGCUCACUCACCCACUCACUCACUCACUCACCAACCCUCCCACCCACUAUUUCAUUCCUCACCCACUCACUCACUCACCAACCCUCCCACCCACUAUUUCAUUCCUCACCCACUCACCAACCCUCCCACCCACUAUUUCAUUCCUCACUCACUCACCAACCCUCUCACCCACUAUUUCAUUCCUCACUCACUCACCAACCCUCCCACCCACUAUUUCAUUCCUCACUCACCCACUCAAAUUCUGCCAAAAACUAACAAGCACAGUAUUCAUUAAGGUUAUAUUUUUAUGAAAAAAAGCCAGUCAUUUGUUUAUUAUUUGAAAGUUGUCAGAUUUGGUCAUAGUGGUACAAUAAUCCCAUUAAAACACUGAAUCUGUAAGAAAUCUGUGAUAGGAUGAAACUAUUUGUAGAUAGUUUGAAGACUUCGACUAAUUAUUUCCUCAAGUCUUUGCUAAAGUUUUCAGAUGUGAAAUAGUAAUAAAAGAUGCUGUAUAUUAUAGAAAACAAGAAAAUAUUAGACAUCUUUUUUCUUUCUUGUUUAUUCCAUCAAUUCAAGAGGUUUUCAGGAAGAUAUCUUCAGCUCGACCCUGACAACAUCUAUAUAAUUGAUGUGGCUUCCCACCCAUUCACCAUGUUGGCAUCAUGACAAAGGAGACUGAAAGAAGAUGUCAGAUUGUCUUGGUACUACAUUAGACUGUACCACUGCUUACUCUAACUGCCUUUCAGAUAUGUCACCACUAACUGGUCAAAGCAGUGUUGGGGGCACGGGUGGCCCAGUCGUCUAAGGCGCUGCGAUUCGCUGUGCAGAUUUGCGUCCCUUGGGCACACCAGAAACCUAUGAUUGUGGGUUCGAAUCCCGGUUCGCCCUGAUUAUGUUUCUAGGUUUGUCAGCACCAUACCCGUGCUCGUGGGUUUCACCGAAGUGGUAAACGUCUGAGACCUGCAUCAUUUCGGGCUUUCCUCCCACAUUAAGCUGACACGCCGUGAUAUAACUGGAAUACUGUUAAAAGCGGCGUUAAACCCAACUCACUCACUCACUCACUCAAAGCAGUGUUAAACCAACCCCACUCUUGUGUUAUCCUAGGAACUUAUUGUAUUUGCGUGUAUAUUUUAGAGAGGACUUAUUUUAGGCCAUGGUGUUACUUGUGAAUAUUAUUAUUUCCAACUGCGUGCCAUAGUGUCUUUAGCACCUGUGCAUCUUGUAGGGACGUGCCUUUACUGUCAUGUAUGGCUAUGUAUGUAUUAUUUUAUGUUGUGUGUAUAUUUGCAGCUUGUUGGAGUAUGGCUUGGGUUAUCCAUUGCCUUGACAUCCUUCUUGAUGGCUGCUUCUAGCAUUGUCUAGUGCUGGUGAUGACAUCGUGACACAAUGACAGUAUUUUGCUUGUAUGUUAUUUGCCGUCCCAUAGGGAUCCAUUGGUAGAAUGGGCUCCAAUAGCACAAUGCUUGUAGAAACAACUAAAAUCAGACCGUGACUUGUGUCAUAUACCUGGUUGGUGUGAAGACUGCUCAUGAUAUCAACCUCUGGUUUGUCUGGUCAAGAUUCAGUUAUUUAAAGGCUGUUGUGAUGUAGUUGUCAUUUGUUCACUUUGUUUUAUACCCUAUUCAGUCGUUUGCUCAAUCGUUAUCCUGUAUGACUUUGUGAAAGUUUCGUAACCAACUCAACUGAGUUAUGGUAGAUAGAAUAGGCUGACAGUUGUCUGUGGUGUCACAACUCUUUGUGUAGUAUGUUGUACAGUUAUGUCCCUUAGUUGGGCCAGGAUCAACUAGUUGUGGGAUCAAAUCCCAAAUUCUUUCAAAUUGCAAUCCCUGAUGUUUCAGCACUAUACCUGCACUCAUGGGGUUAUGUCCCUUCGUCGUGCCAGGAUAGGCUAAUUGUGGGAUCAAAUCCCAGUUUUUUCCAAAUUAUGAUGCUUGGUUUCUGAGCACUACACUGUACUCAUGGGGUUAUGUCCCCUGGUUGUUCCUGGAUCAGCUAAUUGUGGGAUCAAAUCCAAGAUUCUUUGGAAUUAUUAUGUUUCUUGUUUUGCCAGCACGUAAUUGUACUAGUGGCUCUGACGAACCAAUUCCUAUAUUUUUUUAACCUAAUGUGUCAUUUGGUAUUUUUUUUAAACACACACACAAGGAGCUGUCACACUGUCAGAUGACCUAAAAACUGUUCACAGCAGCUUUCAACUCAACUCAUUCACUCACUCACUCUCUCCACAGUUAAGUCAUUCAUGAAAAUACCACAGCUCAGUUGGAUUGUAUUCAUGUCUAGUUCAGUGGAUAGCAACAGCAGAAAUAUAUAUUGAUAGGUAUCCUACACCAUGUCUACAAACAGCCAUAUAAGAAUACCUUGUUUAUCUCCAUGUCAAAAAUUUGUGCUGGCUCUUUUAUGUAAGAAAUAAAUACUUGUAUAUGAUCAUGACAAAAUCACUUCAACACCAUCAUAACAGUAAAAACGCUUCCAUGUAGCAUCAAGUUCAGAAGGAACCUACUUCAUAUCACUGCAAUUUUACUCAUGCAGCAAAAAAUUGUUUCCAUGACAACACAGAUUAAUUUUGUGAUUUAAGCAAAUUCAAAAAAUGCCUUGUGAUUGUGAUGUGGUUUUGUAGGCACUGUAGGCUAAAUGUUCGAAUCGUUUCAUAAAAAGCUGCCCAAUUCAUUAAGAUAUUUUUAAUAUAUUUGAAAAUGAGCUUAUGGUCUUGAAAUGUAAGUCAUUGCUGUCUCAAAUGUAAGAGACAUGCACUGCCUCAUUUAUUUAUCAACUCUUAGAAAUUUUCUCAUUACUCAUUAUCAUACAAUGGAUUAUGUUAUCAAUGCAAUAAACCAGCUGAGCAUGAAUUCAUGAUCCGAUAAAUAUAGAAAUGAGGUCAAAUUGUUUAUGUGUGCAUAUAUUGUGAACAUGGUAGCAUGUCAAAUUUCAAACGAUUGUGAAAUUUCUUAUUCUGAAACAACAUUGUACUUUCUAACAAGGUAGUUUACGUGUGUAACUUUUUUAUUUAUCUGAACAAUGGUUGAGUCGGUCUAAAUGUCCGUCUGGGAUUUGUAUUUGAGACGGAAUAAUUUUCACUUGAAAAGACCAUUAUUUUUCCCAGGACCCACAAUACAAUAUUUCUCAGAAUUUUCAGCAUGUCCAGUGAAUGCUUCAUUAUGUAUUUUAAGACCUGAAGACAAUUUCCUCAUUAACUCGAAGCAUAUCAAGUGGUCAGCCCCUUUCUGGCAUCAUGAACCUGAAUGUCUCAGUUGUGUAUUGGUACAACACUGAUGGUGUGAUACGUAGUAUUGCUAGUCUAGACACCCAUUAUCCUUCAAUGCAUUCUUUUACAUUGUUUUGUUUUAUCUAUAUAUUUGCGAGUAAGACAUGAGGUAUUGGCACAUAGCAUUGUCAUGUAUAUACCAUAUUCUAUGUAGUAAGCGCCAAGGGUGAUAAUAGUUUUCAAAGUAGUUCAAGAAGACUACCUCUUGCACUUUGUUCCGACUGUCGCUUCUGAUUGCUUCAGGACAAGAUGCUUAUAAGACAGGGGUUGUACCUUCAAGAGUGUAACAGGGCAUUCAAAAGGAUGUCUAGAUGUGCCAUUUGGAAAUCAUCUUCUCGAGGCAAGAGAGUUAAUUGACUGUAAAAGUCCAGUUUCCAUCAUUGCCUUCUGGGCCAGAAUUUCUUGGUUUGAUCGUAGCCACCAGUGGCUAUUACGCUUAUGUCUCUUCUAUGUCCCUCCUUUUGACCAAUCAGAUUCCACCUCUCAUACCAACUGCAUUUGCUUCAAAUAAAAUGGCGGCACCCAGGGGAGACAAUGUGAUCGAUGAUCAAGAUCUAUAUUGUAAUAAAACAGGUCUUACUUCGUGAAGUGCAUCAAAUCACGCUAGCACCUUGGAUUUAAACUUCGAAAAGUUUAUGAUACGCAUUUCUGAAACCUGCAUGGCAGUUUAUGAACAGAAUGUUGAGUUCCUCACGUGAUUUUGUUUGGACUGUGCAUAGAAUCGUAGUUUAGAAAUAUAUGUGACAAAAAGGGCAAACUUCUGAAUUUGGACCUGAUUUCCGUAAAAGGCGACUAAUGGGGUUGGGUGGUCAGGCUCGCUGACUUGGUUGAUGUAUGUCAUCGAUUCCACAUUGCGAGGAUUGAUGCUCAUGAUAUCAAUCACUGGAUUGUCUGGUCCAGAAACGAUUAUUUACAGACCGCCAUCAUAUAGCUGGAAUAUUGCCGAGUGCAGCGUUAAACAACCAACCAACCAACCAACCCUUUCCCAUUUCAAUCAGAUUGAUGAAAAGUCUAUUUUCCAUUUUCCAUUUUCAUGUCCAGGGAGAAAUAACAUUUAUCACUGCUUCAUAUGAUAUAAUUUCUAAAAGUGCCCUUCCAGCAAACAGCACUUAUAGAAGGUAUUUCAGUUUCAAUCAGUGAUAAUUUCUGAGACAUUCUCCAUGUGUUAUAUUGAUAAUUACUUGUUGUUGUUGGGUGUUUUGGGGAGCAGGGCGCUUAAUGCAUAGAAUAGGGUAGAUUGAGUUCAUUGUGUAGAUAUUUCCUUUACCUUCACCAUACACAGUCAUGUUCUGUCUGUAUGUAUUUACUUCAUGCAUUUGUGAGAAUAUGUUCUGCUAUAUUUUGUAUUUAUAUCAUUUGUCAUGGUCUCAUAGUUACAUGUGUAUAUGUAUCAUAUGUAAAAUGUUUUUAAAUAACCUUCUAAAGUGCAUAUGACCCAUCUCAGAUAUUUAAAAUUGUGAAAAUGAUUUGAGCGUGUUGAAAAAUGGUUGAUAAAUGUUGUUAUCUGGGAUUUGAAACUUUUCAUUGUUAUCCCCUGCCCAACAAAGUUGGAUAUAGAAACGGGCUUCAUCCGUCCGUCCGUCACGUUUUGUUUCCGGAGCAUAACUCAGAAACCAUUCAAUAUUUUUUCAUGAAACUUUGCAGUUCUGUCAGGUACAUGCCGAACUGGUGCAAUUUACUAUUUAUAAAUUUUAUUAAUUUUUAUUUUUUACAAUUUCCAUGACAAGUUCCACCUCGGUUAAAAAAGGUUAGGGUUUGUUUAGAUUUAAUUAUGUCAUAAAUUCUGCAACAGGGGCGGGGGAUAUAGCCAUGUAGUGGCAAACUCUUGUUUAUACUCUCUUCGGGGGCUUGGGGCCUAAUCAUCCAAGAUGCCGCAAUUCCUUGAUGAUGUUUCCAGGUUUGUCAGCACCAUACUGUGCUUGAUGGUUUCAGCAAAGAGGAAAGCAUCUGAAACCUGCAUCACUUGGGGAUGUCCUCCCACAUUAAGCUGGGACACUGUGAUAUAACUGGAAGAAAGUUAAAAGUGGUGUAAAACCCAACACACUCGCUCAUACGUUCUUGGGCAGUAUUGUUUCAUUUCUGAGUUCUUAGUUUAAAAAAGGGUCAUCUGACAAAGGAACACGAGUAGUGCUUUCAUUACAUAUUGAAUAGUAUUGUCAGAGCACUUUGGGUUCAGGGGCCAUGGAAGCAAUGACAUCAUCCAUUCUGGCAAGACGUCAUGGUAUUCCUGAGUGACACUUGUUUUAUAACACACAGGAAGAGAGUGCUUAGGAAUAUUACUGCAACCCGUUUGUUUUUAUGAUGUUGAAAAUUAGUUUUUUUGGUGAUUUGGUUUUUUUUUUGAGUGUUUGAGGUGCGGAAAGCUUAACACUGGUUCUUAUGAAAAUUCAGGCAUGAAAUACUCAAUAAAACAUGUCGUUUUUCUCCUUAACAUUUAUUCUAUGGAAGUGACAAUGUUUGUAUCCUAAAUGUUAGACCAGAUGGAAGUCACAAUGUUUUCCCCUGUAAAUGUUGGACCAAAUGGAAGUGACAAUGUUUUCCCCAGUAAGUGUUGGACCAAAUGGAAGUAGCAAUGUUUUAUCAAUCUCUUUUUCUCAGUGGAUGUGAUGAUGUUUAUUGUCCUAAAUGUUUGACCAAAGGGAAGUGAAAAUGGUUUUCCUCCUAAAUGUUUGACCAAAGGGAAGUGAAAAUGGUUUUCCUCCUAAAUGUUUGACCCAGAGGAAGUGACAAUGUUUUUCUCCUAAAUGUUUGACCCAGAGGACGUGACAAUGUUUUCCUCCUAAAUGUUUUUGACCCAGAGGAAGUGACAAUGUUUUUCCUCCUAAAUGUUUUUGACCCAAUUGAAGUGAAAAUGGUUUUCCCCCUAAAUGUUUGACCCAAUGGAAGUGAAAAUGGUUUUCCUCCUAAAUGUUUGACCCAAUGGAAGUGACAAUGUUUUCCUCCUAAAUGUUUUUGACCCAGAGGAAGUGACAAUGUUUUUCUCCUAAAUGUUUGACCCAAUGGAGGUGACAUCUGGUGUUGCAUGUGCAGAAUUCUGUUACAUCACAACUCAAAAAGGACAAGUCCUUGAAUUCUUUGCAACAAAACAGAAUGAACUGCAGCAUGCUAUGGUUGUUAGAGGAGAGUAGUAAGAGGAUCUAUUGUACAGAUUGCUGAUGUGGCCCGGUGGACAAGGUUCCCUACCUGGAUUUGUUGGUCAUGAGUCUAAAUCCGCGUCUUAACCAGGUUAUCAUCCUCGGUUUGUCCCCUCCGUUACAUGUUUGUGUCGUUUUUUUCUUGGUGAGGAAUGUCACCUGUGUCAUUUGAGAUAGGUAACUGAAAUACUGUCCAAAACAAUGUAAAUCAUGCCACACUAUCCAGGUGAGCUUUUGUGUGAGUUUGAACAGUAGGCCAGUUAUAUCAUGUUGCAUCAUGUUAUAGGGAGAAACUCCUGAAGGGAUGCAGAUAGUAGGUGAUUGGAGAUUAGCAGAUCCUGGUGUGGUUUAGGGAGACAACCCUGGCACAGCAAAUGCAGUACCUUUGAUGACAAAAUGUGUACUGAUCUGUAUGUAACAACUAUUGUCAGACAGAUGUGAUGCUACUUCUAAACAAUUCUUCAGUCACAUUUUCAUCACAGUUAAUGAAAUGGAUGUAUAACCUGUUCGUGAUUGAUUACUGACAUCAUUGUGUGAUUUUCAGACUGAAUACAAAGCAUGUUUUGUUGUUGAUAUAAAUCUACUACCAUGGUUGCCAUGGUGUUUGUUCGUGAAAUAGUUACAAGUUUGUUUAGUGUUAUUUAUAAGGCUGUCAUUGUACAUAAGGGACACAUUAUGAAAUAUUUAAGAUAAGUCUUAUCGGAAGUAACUUAUUUGUUGAAAGUUCAAGAUCAGUUUGACAUUUUGCUCAAGGUAGUGGUGUAUUACAGUGGUAGAAAAGUUUUACCCAUAUACUAUGUAAGGAGAAUCAGAACAUUUUUUGUUACUGGUUUAAUUUGAGGCAUUUGGAGGCUUUUCACCCUGAAGACAAGGACUUCAAAACUUCAAUAUGAUGUUAUGUACAGUAGCAAAUGGUUUCAUCAAGUAUGUGAACUGCACAUCUACCAAGACAUCGCAUUGACAGAAUAUAGAAGUUGAAAUUCAUAAAUCAACCCAGUCUCCAUUGUUGAUAAUUGAUAAUGAAAUAGGAAUUAAUUACACUUUGUUGCCAGGUGAAGUAACGUGACAAGUAUAUGGUAAUUAGGAACAUCUUAGCAGUCCCCAUAUACCAGGGUCAGAUUCAGGGUGUUUCAAAUGGAGUCCGCAUUUCGGAUCUUAGUAGUCCACACACAGGGUCACAGAUAGACAUUGGGUUCCAAAUUAAAGGGAUCCACAAUGGAUUUUUAGCACUGUAUCUAGCUAACACGAUCUUCUGUGUUGGAGGCUUUUUAUUGUUCAGGUUAUGAAUUAAUCACAUCUAAGCUGAAACAAAAGCCACAUUCAUAAAAAGGUAGCUUUGUCUUUAACGGUGCCACAAAAAUCAAAAUAACUUUCCUUUUCAAAUUAUGUAUUAGUGUGUUGUGUAUAUAUAUAGUCUGUGGUAACCUACCAUGAACAACCUUCGCAGACACUGGUAAGAUAAAAAAAACAACUUCCUGCACAAUAAACAAAAUUGCCUUUCCCCCGCGAAACAGACCAAAUUUAUGCCAAAAUGUAUAAAAGAAAUGUUACACAAAUGUUUUUAUUUCGAAUCGACCCAAGCUUAAAAUUGAAUGUGUGGCUUUGGUAUUAGCUGCUAAAGCAAAGCAAUGUGUGGGAUGACCUGCCACUCUGCACCAAAUGGUUGUCGGACAUUCACAAUUUGCACCAGCCGUUUUGUGUGACACGUUUCUUAGCAGGAAGAGAAGUAGUUGCGUGGGUGACGGUGUGAUAGAUUUCUGUAAACUGGUUUUGUUGGUGUUUAUAUUAAGUACAGUUUGCAGCUCUAUUUUUGGAAAUAAAAUGAUCUUAUCUUAA